rnacentral:rRNA from 1 species
AUUGAACGCUGGCGGUAUGCUUAACACAUGCAAGUCGAACGGUAGCAGGCCUUCGGGCGCUGACGAGUGGCGGACGGGUGAGUAACGCGUAGGAAUCUGCCUCAUAGUGGGGGACAACGUGGGGAAACUCACGCUAAUACCGCAUACGCCCUACGGGGGAAAGCGGGGGAUCGUAAGACCUCGCGCUAUGAGAUGAGCCUGCGUUAGAUUAGCUAGUUGGUAGGGUAAAGGCCUACCAAGGCGACGAUCUAUAGCUGGUCUGAGAGGACGAUCAGCCACACUGGGACUGAGACACGGCCCAGACUCCUACGGGAGGCAGCAGUGGGGAAUAUUGGACAAUGGGCGCAAGCCUGAUCCAGCAAUACCGCGUGUGUGAAGAAGGCCCUAGGGUUGUAAAGCACUUUCAAUAGGGAGGAAAACCUGCCGGUCAAUACCCGGUA